GGCCCCAUCGUAUAGCGGCCUAGUACUCCGCCCUCUCACGCGGCAACACGGGUUCGAAUCCCGUUGGGUCACCA
rnacentral:tRNA from 1 species